rnacentral:rRNA from 1 species
AUGCAUGUCUCAGUACAAGCCGUCCUGUACGGUGAAACCGCGAAAGGCUCAUUAAAUCAGUUAUGGUUCCUUAGAUCGUACCCACGUUACAUGGAUAACUGUGGUAAUUCUAGAGCUAAUACAUGCCGACAGAGCUCCGACCAGCGUGUCGUCGUUUGUCGGCGGCCGUUCGGAAGGAGCGCUUUUAUUAGAUCAAAACCGGCCAAGCGUUGGAACGUGCUUCGCGCGCGUUCGAACGUAAGUGGCCCGCGCAAAGACUUGACGACUCUGAAUAACUUCGAGCUGAUCGCACGGUCCUAGUACCGGCGACGUAUCUUUCAAAUGUCUGCCUUAUCAACUGUCGACGGUAGGUUCUACGCCUACCGUGGUGGUAACGGGUAACGGGGAAUCAGGGUUCGAUUCCGGAGAGGGAGCCUGAGAAACGGCUACCACAUCCAAGGAAGGCAGCAGGCGCGUAAAUUAUCCAUUUGUAGUUCACAGAGAUAG